rnacentral:rRNA from 1 species
UGGGGAAUAUUGGACAAUGGGCGAAAGCCUGAUCCAGCCAUGCCGCGUGUGUGAAGAAGGUCUUCGGAUUGUAAAGCACUUUAAGUUGGGAGGAAGGGCAGUAAGUUAAUACCUUGCUGUUUUGACGUUACCAACAGAAUAAGCACCGGCUAACUUCGUGCCAGCAGCCGCGGUAAUACGAAGGGUGCAAGCGUUAAUCGGAAUUACUGGGCGUAAAGCGCGCGUAGGUGGUUUGGUAAGAUGGAUGUGAAAGCCCCGGGCUCAGCCUGGGAACUGCAUCCAUAACUGCCUGACUAGAGUACGGUAGAGGGUGGUGGAAUUUCCUGUGUAGCGGUGAAAUGCGUAGAUAUAGGAAGGAACACCAGUGGCGAAGGCG